rnacentral:rRNA from 1 species
UUAGAUACCCUAUUAUUUUAAAUGUAAAAAUAAAAACCUAGUUAUUAAUAGUUAAGUUCUUUAAAGCUAAAUAAUUUGGCGGUAUUUUAAACUUUUCAGAGGAACCUGUCCUAUAAUCGAUAAUCCACGAUAGAAUUAACUUUAGUUAGUAAUUUUUAUAUCAUCGUUAUUAAAUAUUUUAUAAGAAUUUAAUAUUUAAAAUUUCUUUAUAAAGAAAUUAUUCAGAUCAAGGUGAAGUUUAUAUUAAAGAAGAGAUGGGUUACAAUUAAUUAUAUUAAUAGAAUAAAAAUUUAAAUAUUUAGAUGAAAUUGGAUUUGAAAGUAAUUACUUAAAC